GUGGCUUCUUUAUAAUUUUUAGAUCCAAAAAUUUGAACCAAAUUAAUGUGAUUUUUUUGUGAUGGAAAGAAGCCUGAACAGAAAUGUUCCCCUCGCUAUCCACUGCUUCAAUUUGAUGGGGCAUUUGGACGUCGGGGAACUACAUCC